rnacentral:rRNA from 1 species
AUUGAACGCUGGCGGUAGGCCUUAUACAUGCAAGUCGUGCGAGAAGUAUCUUCGGAUAUGAGUAGAGCGGCGGACGGGUGAGUAACGCGUAGGAAUCUACCUAGUAGAAGGGGAUAGCCCGGGGAAACUCGGAUUAAUACCGUAUACCUCCUUAGGGAGAAAGAGGGCCUCUCUUUGAUGCUCUUGCUACUAGAUGAGCCUGCGUAAGAUUAGCUAGUUGGUGAGGUAAUGGCUCACCAAGGCGACGAUCUUUAGCUGGUCUGAGAGGACGAUCAGCCACAUUGGGACUGAGACACGGCCCAGACUCCUACGGGAGGCAGCAGUAGGGAAUAUUGGACAAUGAGCGCAAGCUUGAUCCAGCCAUACCGCGUGUGUGAAGAAGGCCUUCGGGUUGUAAAGCACUUUAAGCAGGGAGAAAAAGUUAUAGGUUAAUACCCUAUGACCGUGAUGUUACCUGCAGAAUAAGCACCGGCUAAUUCCGUG